UACGUAGGGGGCAAGCGUUGUCCGGAUUUAUUGGGCGUAAAGAGCGUGUAGGCGGCUUGGUAGGUCCGCUGUGAAAACUCGAGCUCAACCUCGAGACGCCGGUGGAAACUGCAAAGCUAGAGUCCGGAAGAGGAGAGUGGAAUUCCUGGUGUAGCGGUGAAAUGCGCAGAUAUCAGGAAGAACACCCGUGGCGAAGGCGGCUCUCUGGGACGGUACUGACGCUGAGACGCGAAAGCGUGGGGAGCGAACAGG
rnacentral:rRNA from 1 species